GGGGCAAUAGCUCAAUAUGGGAGAGCACUUGCCUUGCAAACAGGAGGUAGAGGGUUCAAAUCUCUCUGGCUCCA
rnacentral:tRNA from 1 species